GGCCUCGUAGAUCAGCUGGCAGAGCGUGCGCGUACAAAGCGUAGGCGGCUUCCAUGCGUGGGUUCGAAUCCCACCGAGGUUA
rnacentral:tRNA from 1 species